rnacentral:misc_RNA from 1 species
CGAUCCAUCCGCGAUCGACACCGCAUCCCCCGU